rnacentral:rRNA from 1 species
GAUGAACGCUGGCGGCGUGCCUAACACAUGCAAGUCGAGCGAACGGACGAGAAGCUUGCUUCUUUGAUGUUAGCGGAGGACGGGUGAGAAACAUGAGGAUAACCUACCUAUAAGACUGGGAUAACCUCGGGAAACGGGAGAUAAUACCGGAUGAUAUUUUGAUCCGUAUGGUUCAAAAGAGAAAGACGGUCUUGCUGUAACUAAUAGAGGGAUACGCGCUGCAUUAGCUAGUUGGUAAGGUAAAGGCUUACGAAGGCAAGUAUGCAUAGCCGACCGGAGAGGGGGGUCGGCCACACGAGAGCGGGGACGCGGACCAUACUCCUACGAUAGGCAGCAGUAGGAUAUCUUCCGCAAUGGGCGAGAACCUUGCGCAGCAGCGCCACGUGAGUUGUAAAAGUCUUCGGUUCGUAAUGCUCUGUUAUUAGUGAAGAACAUAUUUGGAAUUUACUGAGCACAUCUUGACGGUACCUAAUCAGAAAGCCACGGCUAACUAUGUG